rnacentral:rRNA from 1 species
AGAGGUCUCAAGCGUUGUUCGGAUUCAUUGGGCGUAAAGGGUGCGUAGGCGGCGCGGUAAGUCGGGUGUGAAAUCUCGGAGCUUAACUCCGAAACUGCAUUCGAUACUGCCGUGCUUGAGGACUGGAGAGGAGACUGGAAUUUACGGUGUAGCGGUGAAAUGCGUAGAUAUCGUAAGGAAGACCAGUGGCGAAGGCGGGUCUCUGGACAGUUCCUGACGCUGAGGCACGAAGGUCAGGGGAGCAAACGGGAUUAGAUACCCCGGUAGUCCUGACAGUAAACGGUGCACGUUUGGUGUGGGAGGAUUCGACCCCUUCUGCGCCGGAGCUAACGCGUUAAACGUGCCGCCUGGGGAGUACGGUCGCAAGAKUA